AACGAACGCUGGCGGCAGGCCUAACACAUGCAAGUCGAGCGAACCCUUCGGGGUUAGCGGCGGACGGGUUAGUAACGCGUGGGAACGUGCCCAAAGGUACGGAAUAGCCUCGGGAAACUGAGAGUAAUACCGUAUGUGCCCCUCGGGGGAAAGGAUUUAUCGCCUUUGGUAUCGGCCCGCGUUGGAUUAGGUAGUUGGUGGGGUAAUGGCCUACCAAGCCGACGAUCCAUAGCUGGUUUGAGAGGAUGAUCAGCAACACUGGGACUGAGACACGGCCCAGACUCCUACGGGAGGCAGCAGU
rnacentral:rRNA from 1 species